GAUGAACGCUGGCGGCGUGCCUAAUACAUGCAAGUCGAACGGACAGGCGCGGAGCUUGCUUCUCUGAUGUAGCGGCGGACGGGUGAGUACACGGUGGUAAACCUACCUUUAAGACGGGGUAAACUUAGGAAAACCGGGGUUAAUACCGGUAAGUAUUCUUACCCCCAGGUUGCAGAUGGAAAAGUCCGGCUUUUGGUCACGUACUGACGGAUCCGGGCCGUAUUAGCGAGGUGGUAAGGUAACGGCGUACCAAGGAAAAGAGGCAUAGACGACCUGAGAGGGUGAUAGGCCACCCUGGAACUGAGACACGGUCCAGACUCCUAAGGGAGGCAGCAGUAGGGAAUCUUCCGCAACGGGCGAAAGCCUGACGGAGCAACGCCGCGUGAGUGAUGAAGGUCUUCGGAUCGGAAAAAUGUGUUAUGAGGGAAGAACAUAUGUGUAAGUAACUGUGCACAUCUUGACGGUACCUAAUCAGAAAGCCACGGCUAACUACGUG
rnacentral:rRNA from 1 species